rnacentral:rRNA from 1 species
AGAGUUUGAUCCUGGCUCAGGACGAACGCUGGCGGCGCGCCUAACACAUGCAAGUCGAACGAGAGAUGAGGAGCUUGCUCUUCAAAUCGAGUGGCGAACGGGUGAGUAACGCGUGAGGAACCUGCCUCAAAGAGGGGGACAACAGUUGGAAACGACUGCUAAUACCGCAUAAGCCCACGGCUCGGCAUCGAGCAGAGGGAAAAGGAGCAAUCCGCUUUGAGAUGGCCUCGCGUCCGAUUAGCUAGUUGGUGAGGUAACGGCCCACCAAGGCGACGAUCGGUAGCCGGACUGAGAGGUUGAACGGCCACAUUGGGACUGAGACACGGCCCAGACUCCUACGGGAGGCAGCAGUGGGGGAUAUUGCACAAUGGGGGAAACCCUGAUGCAGCGACGCCGCGUGGAGGAAGAAGGUCUUCGGAUUGUAAACUCCUGUUGUUGAGGAAGAUAAUGACGGUACUCAACAAGGAAGUGACGGCUAACUACGUGCCAGCAGCCGCGGUAAAACGUAGGUCACAAGCGUUGUCCGGAAUUACUGGGUGUAAAGGGAGCGCAGGCGGGAAGACAAGUUGGAAGUGAAAUCCAUGGGCUCAACCCAUGAACUGCUUUCAAAACUGUUUUUCUUGAGUAGUGCAGAGGUAGGCGGAAUUCCCGGUGUAGCGGUGGAAUGCGUAGAUAUCGGGAGGAACACCAGUGGCGAAGGCGGCCUACUGGGCACCAACUGACGCUGAGGCUCGAAAGUGUGGGUAGCAAACAGGAUUAGAUACCCUGGUAGUCCACACCGUAAACGAUGAUUACUAGGUGUUGGAGGAUUGACCCCUUCAGUGCCGCAGUUAACACAAUAAGUAAUCCACCUGGGGAGUACGACCGCAAGGUUGAAACUCAAAGGAAUUGACGGGGGCCCGCACAAGCAGUGGAGUAUGUGGUUUAAUUCGA